rnacentral:lncRNA from 1 species
CCCUAAAACCAUUUGCUCUCAUUUACCCAAACGGCUGUGUCUGCCCUCCGUUGUGCAAAACAUUAUUUGCUUCCACCGUCAUCUCUCAGCUGAAAUUUGCAAACUUGUUUCGCCAGUUCGCUUUCUGUUCCAGUUGCCCCACAGCCAUGCACAAACACACACACACACUCACACAAGCAACUAAACUUGCAGUCAAAAGCACAAAAAGGCUGAAAAGGCUUCGCUUUACUUGCGUGUUUCUUCUGUUUGCUUUCUUUGCGAGUUCCCUCAAAGAUUUGCUUAUUGCUUUUCGCCUCUUCCAUUCGCCAGCCAGUGCGUUUUUGCUUUUUAUAACUCGCCGGUGACUCCGACUCCAACUACGUCUCCGCCACUGGCGCUGGGCACGGCUGGGACUAGGCGCUUUUGCUGUUUUUCGUUUCAGUUAGUUGUUGUUGCUUUGCGCAGAUAUACACCACAGCGGAAUAAAUACGCUGCUCAGCAAUAAAAUGCGUUUUCGUUACGCUUCCACCAAAACAAAGAUUACUUUCCAUUACAAUAAUUUGCUGUUGUUGUUAUUGUUAAAAAUGAAAAAAACAAAAAGACUUUGUGAUCUGUGAUUCAAACAAAAUUAUUAUAAAACUUACUGAGGCAAAUUUUAAAACAAAAAGUGUUUGUACCGUCGGCAAAGUGACUACUUCUAAGCGUGUCCGAAGAAAAUGAGAAAUUCAUGGAAAAAGUGAUUACCAUACGUUUGCCCCGCGAUUGGUUACACCUCUACGAGCGUACGUAAUUGCGUGUUGUAUGCAUGCCCGCAGCAUUCAACGGCAGACAUUUUAUUAUGUGGCAUCCACAAAUCAUUUCAUUGUUCGCCAGUAAGGUGUCACAUUUUAUUGCGCGCUCCACAAUGCCCACGGCGCGCACACACACAACCAAACAAGCGCAUGCGCAUUCACCAAACGCACAUCAGCCAGAUAUCCGCAUCUGCAUGUUUGAUUGAUCACGCUGCCUAUCGGACAUAAUUUGGUAGAUUUGAGGCCUUCGAAAUACCUCGAAUAAACAGUGCUGCGAGCAUAAUUUCUAGACGCACAUAUACCAUAUGCACAUGUACACUUAUUUCCAUGUAUGCGGGUCAGAAAAUGUAUUCAAUAAAUUUUUUACUGCGCCUCAAGAAA